rnacentral:sRNA from 1 species
GGACAGUCAUCGCCGAGUCCCCGUCAGGCGCGAGCCCGGGGAGCCGGGGACCCAUGCAGUCCCUGGGGUGAAUCGGAUGCCUGAGCCCGGAUGGGGCCGGGGCGUCCGUAGGAGACCUUCCUGCUCCGAACCCGUCAGCUAACCCGGUAGGCGAGAAGGAAGGAAAG